GACAGAGGUGCCGAGCGUUAGGCGGAAUCACUGGGCUUAAAGCGUGUGUAGGCGGAUUGGUAAGUACCUUGUGAAAUCCCACGGCUUAACCGUGGAACUGCUGGGUAUACUGCUUAUCUUGGGCCACUUAGGGGCUAGCGGAACAAACGGUGGAGCGGUGAAAUGCGUAGAUAUCGUUUGGAACGCCAAUGGUGAAAACAGCUAGCUGGGAGUGUGCCGACGCUGAGACACGAAAGCCAGGGGAGCGAACGGG
rnacentral:rRNA from 1 species